rnacentral:snRNA from 1 species
GUGCUCACUUUGCAGCACAUAUACUAAAAACUGGACCAAUACAGAGAAGAUUGCAUGGCCCCUGAACAAGGAUGACACUCAAAUUCGUGAAGUGUUCCAUAUUUUU